AGUGAACGCUGGCGGCGUGCCUAAUACAUGCAAGUCGAACGAACGAAUAAGAGCUUGCUCUUAUAAGUUAGUGGCGCACGGGUGAGUAAUAUAUAGCUAAUCUGCCUCUUAGUAGAGGAUAACAGUCGGAAACGAUUGCUAAUACUCUAUACUUCUGCUUUACAUAAGUAAAGUAGAGAAAGUUUUUCGCUAAGAGAUGAGGCUAUACUGUAUCAGCUAGUUGGUAAGGUAACGGCUUACCAAGGCUAUGACGCAUAACUGGUCUGAGAGGAUGAUCAGUCACAUUGGAACUGAGACACGGUCCAAACUCCUACGGGAGGCAGCAGUAGGGAAUAUUGCGCAAUGGGGGAAACCCUGACGCAGCAACGCCGCGUGGAGGAGGACACUUUUCGGAGCGUAAACUCCUUUUAUCGGGAAAGAAUAAUGACGGUACCCGAUGAAUAAGCACCGGCUAACUCCGUG
rnacentral:rRNA from 1 species